rnacentral:rRNA from 1 species
GGGGAAUAUUGCACAAUGGGCGCAAGCCUGAUGCAGCCAUGCCGCGUGUGUGAAGAAGGCCUUCGGGUUGUAAAGCACUUUCAGCGGGGAGGAAGGCGUUAAGGUUAAUAACCUUGGCGAUUGACGUUACCCGCAGAAGAAGCACCGGCUAACUCCGUGCCAGCAGCCGCGGUAAUAAGGAGGGUGCAAGCGUUAAUCGGAAUUACUGGGCGUAAAGCGUGCGUAGGCGGUUUGGUCAGUCAGCCGUGAAAGCCCUGGGCGUAACCUGGGAACGGCGGUUGAGACGGCCAGACUCGAGUGGGCUAGAGGAUCGUGGAAUUCCCGGUGUAGCGGUGAAAUGCGUAGAGAUCGGGAGGAACACCGAUGGCGAAGGCAGCGGUCUGGGGCCACACUGACGCUGAGGCACGAAAGCGUGGGGAGCAAAC